CUUCUUCGGCAACAAUCGGCAGUUCGGCAGCGAGCUGGAGGAGGAGGAGAAAGAGGAGGAGGAGGCCGAGAGUGAGGCGUGACAUUCGUCCUCCUCUCCCCCUAACCACCGCCAUCUUGAGGAGGAGUCCGCCGCCAUCUUGAAUACUCCCACUCUUAGUCGCGGCAAGUCGUUGCGCCGAUUCGGAUCACCGGCUGUAUUGUAACCAACCUUAUUUGAGAUUAUUCAGAUAAAGCGGCUUAGCACUAUAGGAAGCUAUGCUGGUCAUGAAGGCCAGUGAAUUUUGGCAAUCUUGGUUAAAAGAAAAGAAUAUAAUCAAAGUCUAAGAAUAGUUUUUCCAUAGGUUGAGAUGCAAUAUAGAAGAGCAAAGAUAGCCAUAGUUGGUAUUUUGAGCAGGCGGUUUAC